AUUUCAUCCAGGUGCCCAGACAAAUACUGUUACUACUACUACUACCCCGGUGACUACUGAGAGGAAUCAGAAGCCAGAAAGCAGCAAGGCUUUUCAUAGUAGGGCCACUUGCAUACAAUUCCUUGUACUGUGACAACCCAAGAGCUCCAGAGAACUUCUUUCUUCCAGCGUCCAAUCUCUCCAGAUUCAGAAUUUCUAAGUGACACCUCCUCCACCUCUGGCUGAUGCAGGAGCCUCAGUAUCCCCACUGCUCAACCAUGACUUUGGCCUCUGUCUUAGUGAUUUUGAUUCUCUUCUCAAUGAGAGGAGCAAGAACACAAACCGUGAACCAGCCUGAAGGUCAGAUCGCUAUAUCUGAACGGGACUCCCUGGAGUUGACAUGUACUGCUUCGUAUACAGGGAGCCCUAGGUUCUACUGGUAUGUUCAGUACCCCAAACAAAGCCUCCAGAUGCUCCUGAAAUAUUUCUCAGGAAACACUCUGGUUAGAGGUAGCAAAGGUUUUGAAGCAGAAUUUAACAAGAACAAUAAAUCCUUCAACCUGAGGAAACCGUCUGUCGAAGUGAGCGAUGCAGCUGUUUACUUCUGUGCUGUGUAUGACACAGUGACUUGAAACAUCAGGAGAGCUGCACGUGAAAUGCUGAGAUAUGAUGGACAAUGAUCCUGAGUAGUUAUUCUUUCUGCCCCUAGGGGGUGAUGUUGGUCUGAGACUCAACUUUAGCAUCUUUU